rnacentral:rRNA from 1 species
AACGAACGCUGGCGGCGUGCUUAACACAUGCAAGUCGAACGGAAAGGCCCUGCUUUUGUGGGGUGCUCGAGUGGCGAACGGGUGAGUAACACGUGAGUAACCUGCCCUUGACUUUGGGAUAACUUCAGGAAACUGGGGCUAAUACCGGAUAGGAGCUCCUGCUGCAUGGUGGGGGUUGGAAAGUUUCGGCGGUUGGGGAUGGACUCGCGGCUUAUCAGCUUGUUGGUGGGGUAGUGGCUUACCAAGGCUUUGACGGGUAGCCGGCCCGAGAGGGUGACCGGCCACAUUGGGACUGAGAUACGGCCCAGACUCCUACGGGAGGCAGCAGUGGGGAAUAUUGCACAAUGGGCGGAAGCCUGAUGCAGCAACGCCGCGUGCGGGAUGACGGCCUUCGGGUUGUAAACCGCUUUCGCCUGUGACGAAGCGUGAGUGACGGUAAUGGGUAAAGAAGCACCGGCUAACUACGUG